rnacentral:rRNA from 1 species
GACGAGCCCUUUACUGACGCUAAAGCUCGAAGGUGCGGGUAUCGAACAGGAUUAGAUACCCUGGUAGUCCGCACGGUAAACGAUGGAUGCCCGCUGUUGGCGAUAUACUGCCAGUGGCCAAGCGAAAGCGUUAAGCAUCCCACCUGGGGAGUACGCCGGCAACGGUGAAACUCAAAGGAAUUGACGGGGGCCCGCACAAGCGGAGGAACAUGUGGUUUAAUUCGAUGAUACGCGAGGAACCUUACCCGGGCUUGAACUGCAGUGGAAGGAUACAGAGAUGUUGACGCCCCUCGGGGCCACUGUGGAGGUGCUGCAUGGUUGUCGUCAGCUCGUGCCGUGAGGUGUCGGCUUAAGUGCCAUAACGAGCGCAACCCCUUUCGCCAGUUGCCAUCAGGUGAUGCUGGGCACUCCGGCGACACUGCCACCGCAAGGUGCGAGGAAGGUGGGGAUGACGUCAAAUCAGCACGGCCCUUACGUCCGGGGCUACACACGUGUUACAAUGGGGAGUACAGAGAGUCGGGUGCCGGCAACGUCACUCUAAUCUAUAAAGCUCUCCUCAGUUCGGAUUGGGGUCUGCAACCCGACCCCAUGAAGCUGGAU